rnacentral:lncRNA from 10 species
CGGGGCGGCAGGAGCACAGGGCUCCAUCUGCCCACAGGAGAAAGGAGGGAGCAACUUCGCCUGCCCUUCCCUGGGGGAACACGGCUGGAGCUGUGGCUGUGAUGACUGGAGCUGUGGCUGUGGCUGUGACAGCUGGGUGGCAGGUCCAGGCGUCCCACCCAGGGUACUGUCCUCUGCAUCCAGUCCAGGCAACACAGAAUAAGCAUCAUGCUCCAGAGGAGGUAGCCUGCCUGUCCUUCAAAUCCCUCUCCUGAGGCCCAUCCUGCCCUUAUGCUUGUCUUAUCCCCAACCAGACAGGCUGCCCGUGCCACUCCGAUGCCCAGCACCCACCAGCAUAGCCACCUGGAGUUGUUUCCCCAAGCUGCAGGCCACUGUGUUAAGGGCCAGUCAGAGCUCAUUUGGACAGGAAGGUUUUCUACACAUUACAGCUCCCAAGCUGAAAGAAAGUUGUGAAAGCUGGACAGGCUGCAAAGGACCUUCAGUCAUCCCCCUUCCAGCCUGGCUUGAAUUCCCUGAGAUGGGGACUCACUGCUAAGCCACCUCCAUCACCACGGACGUGGACACAGGAGGAUAGACUCAUUCCAACGGAUGCCGGCCAGAUUCGUGUCCUGGGGCCGCCAAAACCAAGUCCCACAAACUGAAGCUUCAAACAACAGACACUGCUUCUCCCCAAGUUGUGGAGGCCAGAAGCCCGAGAUCCAGGUGCCAGCAGGACUGUGGUGGCUCUGCAGUCCCCAGGGAGGCUCCUUCCUGCCUCUUCCAGCCUCUGCAGGCUACAGCAGGACUCUGGUCUCUGCCCCCACUGGCCCCGCACACUCCCUGCCUGUCCAUGCCUCUUCCCCCCUUCUAAGGACACCAGUCAUGUGGGUUCAGGGCCCACCCUACUCAAACAGGGCCUCAUUUAACUGAACCAAUUACACCUGCAGUUCCCUGUUUCCGGAGAAGGGCAAAUUCUGGGGUUCCAGGAGAGACAUGAAAUGAGGGGGACAUUAUCCACCCAGUAUACUGGCUGAAGGCCUCAGGGCCUCCUGGGCUGGUCUCAGGGUGGGAGGGAGACUUGGUCCCUGUGGAGGUGAGCAGUCCAGGGCCUUCAGAGCCAGCCUCCACAAACGUGUGGAUGAAUCAGUGAGGGAGAGGGCUGUGCUGUGGCCCUUGUCCUCGGGGAGUAAGCCUGUCUGUGGUGAUGGCCAUAGCACCAGGAUGCAAGGUAGCAGGUGAGAGGGGCAGGGACACAGGCGGUGCCGCCCAUCCUGCCCGGGGAAGUCUGGAAGCCUCUUCGGGCUGACCUGCCAGCCAGGCCUUGGAGGCGAGGAGGCACUGCUGUGAGGACUCUGCAGCCCUUGGCUGGGACAUGUCCCCCACUGUGGGCAGCUGCUGCUGCAGACACACUGGCUGUUAAGGAGCAGAGUCCAAGCCUCCUGCAAUACGUUCGGGAACUUUCUGCCUUGGAAAACAUCGAAUCUCUAAUAUUGUCCCUUUCCUCUAGAAAAGGCACUGGGUACAGAGAUGACAAGGCGCUGGCCCUGCCUUCCAGGGGCCCCCAGCAUCAUGGGGAAGACACCCAGUGACUGGCCAACUCAUCUCUGCCUUUCCGCUGUCGGCUGCACAAGUGUGCACCUGCUGUGGCCCCUGGGAAGUCUUCUGUGCUAAAGUGGAAAGGCUUCCAGUGCCUUCACAAAGGCAUGAAUCUACUCACAGGGAUCCACUCCAUGAGGAAAACACCUUCCAUUAGGCCCCACCUCCAACACUCUGGGAUCAAAUUGCAACCUGAGGUUUGGAGGCCCAACCAUGCAGCUGCCAGCACUGCUCCUGGAUAUCACCAAGGAAUACGGGUCAUUGGAGCAUUCGCAGACAGUCUUCAAGCAUCCACUGUGUGCCAGGCUCGCGCACCGAGGCCAUGCCAGCGGGUGUCAUCAUGCCAGCUCUUCCCAGGCCUGGGCAGCUGAGACCUGUGCAUGCCAGGCCAAAGUCUCCAGCCCCAGAUGUGAACCUGGAAUGCCCCGGCCCACCUCCUCCUUCUUGGGGUCCCCAGAUUCGCUUCCCGAGGACCUCGAAGGGUUCACAUUCUCACCAUAAGCAGGCGCUCACACCGGGGGCAAGCAGAGGGACAGCAGCCCCCUAGAGGCAGGGCCCAAGGGUCCCAUGCACUUCACCCCUGCUGCAGGACCUGGCCUGGGCCUGUGACUUGGGAAUGCCACAUCAUAGAGGUUCUCUGGAAACAAGGAAUGCAGACCCCAUGACCACGUACCCCCACUCCCCAGAUGACCCACUGCAGCAGACCAAACAUGGGCAUCCAUCUCUGAGUGCCCCGCAGUGCAAGCAAAUGACGUGUCUGGGUUUGUGUCUCCCCAGAGCUGACUGGAGAUAGGGAUCUGAGGGUUAAUGUGUCCUUGGGAGUCGAAGAGAGCAGUGUCAAGGGCAGUGGGGAGGGAGGAGAGGCAGCCACUAAGCAGGAGAGACCUGCAGCUUCUCAGAUGGCCUCCCUGUGGUGGCUGGGUCCUAGUGGGUCCACCUGACAUCUUGCCUUUAAUUUCCUACAGCUGCCGACAAAGCGCAAUAAAGCCGGUGACCUCAGAUACAGAGUUUAUCCUCUCACCAUCCCGGAGGCCAGAAAUGCCAGACCAAGGUGCCUGUGUCUUCUAACAAGGACAUCAGCCAUUGGAUGAAGCCACCUUAAAUCCAGGAUGACUUCAUCGUAACUUACUGACAUCAGCAAAGACCCUAUUUCCAAAUACGGUCACAUUCACAGCUGCAGCUGGUUAGGACUUGAACAUGUAUUUUGGGGGGACACAAUUCCACCCACAGCAAUCCCCCUUGGUCCCCACUCAGCCCAGGUGAGAGCCAACCGGCACCUGCACAGCUGAAGCCAUGGUCCCCACCCCACCUUUGGUCCCCACAUCACGUGGAAAGCUCACGUGCAGGGGCUCUGCUGUCCAUGAACUCUCCUCACCUAGUCCUCGCCACAACUCCAGGCCCCAACGCAAAAGCAUGGCAGGUCUGCCUGGCCCAGAAGCCCCCUGUCCCCAACAUUGUUCUGCCAGCCCCAGGGAGGGCUUCCUGAUGUGCCACCAGGGUCCUUCGGCCUGGCAGGCUGAAGCCGGGGCCGGCUGUCACUGCCGCUGUCCUGGAUAGCCUCGUGGGCCUCCCCUGUGGUAAGCCAGGGGCUGUCUCGUUGCCCAGUAAGCCCUGGCUGCCCUCCCCUCCACAGGCUGGGCAGGCAACAGAAAAGCAGACUUCAGGAGCAAAAGGCGGAGGCCCCAGACCCCAGCUCUCCCAGAGCAGAAUGGAGCAGAAGGGACGGGCCGGUCCUUUAUCCCCUGGAGCCAGGCUUCCUGCCUCAGAAAUGCUUGGGGCUGCCCUCACACCACGCUGGGCAGCUUCAGGAGACACCGUGUGAUCACCUGGUGCUGGGGAACUCGCAGGCAUCAGCCCCUCCACUCCUCCCCAUUGGGGAAAGGGAGGAGAUGGGGCCCAAGGCAAGGGACCCAGGACAGGGCUUUGCAGGAGCACCCAAGCUUCAUGGGGCGAUUUCAUCAGUCACAUAGGAAUGCCAGCUGCGACGCCCACACACUGGAGACCCAGCAAACGAAGCAGGCCCGGACACUGGCAUGGAAUUCUGACACAUCAGGGUACAACCACCAAAUUGGAAAGGUCAUAAAAUAUUAAAGCUGUUGAUGGAGAGAAAAUAUUGAAGAUUUCAUCAGCAGUUUCUUGCCCUAUUUCAAUGAUAUUAACUUUUUAAUUAAAAUUGACGCUCAAGACUUUCCAACAGAGGGAAGUUUCACUUCUUAACCUAGAGGGAGCCGCA